GAACGGUUUGAGGGUGUGCUGGCCUCAUACGGGGCAUGUGCACGCCUGGCUCAUCCACUCUUCAACCUCUGUGCACUUAUUGUAGAUCGGUGACAAGGUCGAGUUCUUUCACGAGUUCUUGACUGGAAAAACUUUCCACGGUUUUACCACAAACGCCUUCAAGUAAAGAAUGGUUAACCGCGUAUAACCCAUCCUUAUACCACUUUCAGCAACGGAUCUCCUGGCUCCCGCCUCGAUGAAGAACGCCAGGAAAGGCCAUAAGUAAAGGGAAUUGCAGAAAUCGGGGAAACAUACUAUCUUUGAACGCCCCCUGGGCCCCCUGGUAUUCCGGGGAACAUGGCUGGUUGAGUGGCCUGGGAUUCACCACUCUUAAUACUUUUUUGGAUCAAGAGCUUGGACCUGGAGGCUUGGACUGGCUUGGCUCGAUCUGACGCGUCCNGUCGGAAAAGCACUUAGCAGGAGGAUUUAUAUGGAACGCCUCGGGGUGAAAAUUAACCUGCGCCGUAGUCUUAAAGUACUUGAAACCGUUUACCCUUCUAAUCGCCCUUGCCGGGACCAAGUAAACCCUGACUUUUUGACCUCAAAUCAGGGAGGACUAGCCGGG
rnacentral:rRNA from 1 species